GUGCAGUAGCACAGAAUUUGCCUCCAUUUCUAUAUCUUUGUGUUCGCAUACAGUCCUCAGUAGAAGCCAAGGACUUUACAACGUUCUCCUGGACAGCAGGGCAUAUCACACCACCGAGCUAAACGCAGCAUCAGUCAGCGUCCCAAUCAACGGCGGGUCAUUGGUUUGGCCAUCUGAGGUCGACGCGGGGUCCGCAGCCAGCCAGGGUGGGCCACUCUUUGGCUCGCUACCACAGGCAGUCGUCUCAGCUUCCGACACACGCUGGAGACUUCCUGAGGCGAGGGCUACAGAUCUGGACGCCGGAUAGUGGGCGCUUGUUCUGCCAUGGUCUCAGCCACGCCAGCGAGAAGAAGGACGCAGCUGGCUGCCCGCAGCUCACACCGAGCUGGCGCAGCCAUCCUGACAUCAUCGGAACUCUGCGGGCCAGUCAAGGCUGGCUCGACACAGCGUUGCAUUGCACAGGCCACUGGGGUGCUUCCUCAGCAUUGCGGGGCCCUGUGACACAGACCGAGGUGGAUGGAGCCAUGUAGUGGAAGCAAAUAAAUCAUAUAGAAAGUU